rnacentral:lncRNA from 1 species
AUCAAAGAUGACUGAAAUUGAUGAAAACAUGUGUGGAGAUCUGCAUUAUCUCUCUGUGUCCCCCUCCCCCGAGCUGAAGAUGGCUGGAAAUGAUAAAGCAAGGCAGAGAAGUUCAGCCGGUCCCAGCACCCAGAAGGAAGCUCACCCAUUGCCAUCCCAAGGUCCUAGGGCAGAGAAAGUGAGCCUUGUGGGUGCCAGAAGCACUCCCUCCAGUGGAAAUGAGAAGACAUAUAAACAAGUCUCAAAAACAGACUUCUGGAUCACCUACAGCAACCCCAAAGGGAAAUGAGAUGGAACAAUCUGAUACUCAACCACCUGGACUCUCUGAACUGGCAACA